rnacentral:rRNA from 1 species
GCACAAGCGGCGGAGCAUGCGGAUUAAUUCGAUGCAACGCAAGACCUUACCAAGGCUUGACAGUACACCGGUAACGCCCAGAGAUGGGUGCCCCUUUGUGGUCGGUGUACAGGUGGUGCAUGGUUGUCGUCAGCUCGUGUCGUGAGAUGUUGGGUUAAGUCCCGCAACGAGCGCAACCCUCGUCCUAUGUUGCCAGCGGGUCAUGCCGGGGACUCAUGGGAGACUGCCGGGGUCAACUCGGAGGAAGUGGGGAUGACGUCAAAUCAUCAUGCCCCUUAUGUCUUGGGCUUCACGCAUGCUACAAUGGCCGGUACAAAGGGCUGCGAUACCGCGAGGUGGAGCGAAUCCCAGAAAGCCGGUCUCAGUUCGGAUUGGGGUCUGCAACUCGACCCCAUGAAGUCGGAGUCGCUAGUAAUCGCAGAUCAGCAACGCUGCGGUGAAUACGUUCCCGGGCCUU